CAGUCGCCACGGUAAUACGAAGGGUGCAAGCGUUACUCGGAAUUACUGGGCGUAAAGCGUGCGUAGGUGGUUCGUUAAGUCUGAUGUGAAAGCCCUGGGCUCAACCUGGGAAUUGCAUUGGAUACUGGCGAGCUAGAGUGCGGUAGAGGGUAGUGGAAUUCCCGGUGUAGCAGUGAAAUGCGUAGAGAUCGGGAGGAACAUCUGUGGCGAAGGCGACUGCCUGGACCAGCACUGACACUGAGGCACGAAAGCGUGGGGAGCAAACAGGAUUAGAUACCCCGGUAGUCCCUGUCUCUUAUAC
rnacentral:rRNA from 1 species